AUUGAACGCUGGCGGCAUGCCUUACACAUGCAAGUCGAACGGCAGCACGGGAGCAAUCCUGGUGGCGAGUGGCAAACGGGUGAGUAAUAUAUCGGAACGUGCCCAGUCGUGGGGGAUAACGUAGCGAAAGCUACGCUAAUACCGCAUACGAUCUAUGGAUGAAAGCGGGGGAUCGCAAGACCUCGCGCGAUUGGAGCGGCCGAUAUCAGAUUAGGUAGUUGGUGAGGUAAAGGCUCACCAAGCCGACGAUCUGUAGCUGGUCUGAGAGGACGACCAGCCACACUGGGACUGAGACACGGCCCAGACUCCUACGGAGGCAGCAGUGGGGAAUUUUGGACAAUGGGCGCAAGCCUGAUCCAGCAAUGCCGCGUGCAGGAUGAAGGCCUGGUU
rnacentral:rRNA from 1 species